GCCUGACUGGCUCAGUCCGUAGGGCAUGUGACUUUUGAUCUCAGAGUUGUAAAUUCGAACCCCACGUUGGGUG
rnacentral:tRNA from 1 species